CGCAACCUGAACUCAGAUGUGAUUACCCGCUGAACUUAAGCAUAUCAUUUAGCGGAGGA
rnacentral:rRNA from 1 species